rnacentral:rRNA from 1 species
CCUACGGGUGGCAGCAGUGAGGAAUAUUGGUCAAUGGACGAGAGUCUGAACCAGCCAAGUAGCGUGAAGGAUGACUGCCCUAUGGGUUGGAAACUUCGUUUAUAGGGGAAUAAAAUGGUCCACGGGUGGGAUGUGGUAUGGACCAUAGGAAGAAGGAACGGCUACCUCCGUGCCAGCAUCCGCGGUAAUACGGAGGAUCCUAGCGUUCUGCGGAGUUAUUGGGGUUAAAGGGAGCGUAGGUGGCUUGUUAAGUCAGUGGUGAAAGUUUGCGGCUCAACCGUAAAAUUGCAGUUGCAACUGGCAGUCUUGCGUCCAGUAGCGGUGGGCGGACUUCCUGGUGUAGCGG